GUUUAAUGAUGAUACUCCAGUUCUGCUACUGAAAUGAGAAUGUUGAUAUUUAUACCAACUUUCUGAAAA